GUUACAGGCUUAACACAUGCAAGUCGAGGGGCAGCAUUUCAGUUUGCUUGCAAACUGGAGAUGGCGACCGGCGCACGGGUGAGUAACACGUAUCCAACCUGCCGAUAACUCGGGGAUAGCCUUUCGAAAGAAAGAUUAAUACCCGAUGGCAUAAUUAGACCGCAUGGUCUUAUUAUUAAAGAAUUUCGGUUAUCGAUGGGGAUGCGUUCCAUUAGGCAGUUGGUGAGGUAACGGCUCACCAAACCUUCGAUGGAUAGGGGUUCUGAGAGGAAGGUCCCCCACAUUGGAACUGAGACACGGUCCAAACCCCUACGGGAGGCAGCAGUGAGGAAUAUUGGUCAAUGGGCGCAGGCCUGAACCAGCCAAGUAGCGUGAAGGAUGACUGCCCUAUGGGUUGUAAACUUCUUUUAUAUGGGAAUAAAGUUUUCCACGUGUGGAAUUUUGUAUGUACCAUAUGAAUAAGGAUCGGCUAACUCCGUGCCAGCAGCCGCGGUAAUACGGAGGAUCCGAGCGUUAUCCGGAUUUAUUGGGUUUAAAGGGAGCGUAGGUGGACAGUUAAGUCAGUUGUGAAAGUUUGCGGCUCAACCGUAAAAUUGCAGUUGAUACUGGCUGUCUUGAGUACAGUAGAGGUGGGCGGAAUUCGUGGUGUAGCGGUGAAAUGCUUAGAUAUCACGAAGAACUCCGAUUGCGAAGGCAGCUCACUGGACUGCAACUGACACUGAUGCUCGAAAGUGUGGGUAUCAAACAGGAUUAGAUACCCUGGUAGUCCACACAGUAAACGAUGAAUACUCGCUGUUUGCGAUAUACAGUAAGCGGCCAAGCGAAAGCAUUAAGUAUUCCACCUGGGGAGUACGCCGGCAACGGUGAAACUCAAAGGAAUUGACGGGGGCCCGCACAAGCGGAGGAACAUGUGGUUUAAUUCGAUGAUACGCGAGGAACCUUACCCGGGCUUAAAUUGCAUUUGAAUAUAUUGGAAACAGUAUAGCCGUAAGGCAAAUGUGAAGGUGCUGCAUGGUUGUCGUCAGCUCGUGCCGUGAGGUGUCGGCUUAAGUGCCAUAACGAGCGCAACCCUUAUCUUUAGUUACUAACAGGUCAUGCUGAGGACUCUAGAGAGACUGCCGUCGUAAGAUGUGAGGAAGGUGGGGAUGACGUCAAAUCAGCACGGCCCUUACGUCCGGGGCUACACACGUGUUACAAUGGGGGGUACAGAAGGCAGCUACCUGGUGACAGGAUGCUAAUCCCAAAAGCCUCUCUCAGUUCGGAUCGAAGUCUGCAACCCGACUUCGUGAAGCUGGAUUCGCUAGUAAUCGCGCAUCAGCCAUGGCGCGGUGAAUACGUUCCCGGGCCUUGUACACACCGCCCGUCAAGCCAUGAAAGCCGGGGGUACCUGAAGUACGUAACCGCAAGGAGCGUCCUAGGGUAAAACUGGUAAUUG
rnacentral:rRNA from 1 species